rnacentral:rRNA from 1 species
CCUACGGGAGGCAGCAGUGAGGAAUAUUGGUCAAUGGACGAGAGUCUGAACCAGCCAAGUAGCUUGAAGGAUGACUGCCCUAUGGGUUGUAAACUUCUUUUAUAUGGGAAUAAAAUGUUCCACGUGUGGGAUUUUGUAUGUACCAUGUGAAUACGGAUCGGCUAACUCCGUGCCAGCAGCCGCGGUAAUACGGAGGAUCCGAGCGUUAUCCGGAUUUAUUGGGUUUAAAGGGAGCGUAGGUGGAUUGUUAAGUCAGUUGUGAAAGUUUGCGGCUCAACCGUAAAAUUGCAGUUGAAACUGGCAGUCUUGAGUACAGUAGAGGUGGGCGGAAUUCGUGGUGUAGCGGUGAAAUGCUUAGAUAUCACGAAGAACUCCGAUUGCGAAGGCAGUUCACUGGACUGCAACUGACACUGAGGCUCGAAAGUGUGGGUAUCAAACAGGAUUAGAUACCCGGGUAGUC